rnacentral:rRNA from 1 species
GUGCCAGCCGCCGCGGUAACACCGGCAGCCCAAGUGAUGGCCGAUAUUAUUGGGCCUAAAGCGUCCGUAGCUGGCCGCACAAGUCCGUCGGGAAAUCCACCCGCCCAACGGGUGGGCGUCCGGUAGAAACUGGCCGGCUUGGAACCGGAAGGCUCAGAGAGUACGUCCGGGGUAGGAGUGAAAUCCCGUAAUCCCGGACGGACUACCGAUGGCGAAAGCACUCUGAGAAGACGGCUUCGACAGUGAGGGACGAAAGCGCGGGUCUCAAACCGGAUUAGAAACCCGAGUAGCC